rnacentral:rRNA from 1 species
GAAAUGCGAUAAGUAAUGUGAAUUGCAGAAUUCAGUGAAUCAUCGAAUCUUUGAACGCACCUUGCGCCCUUUGGUAUUCCGAAGGGCAUGCCUGUUUGAGUGUCAUUAAAUUAUCAACCUUAAGACUUGCGUCUUCAAGGCUUGGAUGUGAGGGCUUGCUGGCUUCCUUCAGUGGACGGUCUGCUCCCUUUAAAUGCAUUAGUGGGAUCUCUUGUGGACCGUCACUUGGUGUGAUAAUUAUMUAUGCCAUUUGACUUUGAAGCAAACUAAUGGGAACCUGCUUAUAACCGUCCCUUCGGGACAACUUAUUGACAAUUUGACCUCAAAUCAGGUAAGACUACCCGCUGAACUUAA